rnacentral:tRNA from 1 species
GGGCUGGUAGCUCAAAGGGCAGAGCGCUCGUCUUUUAAACGAGAGGUUGUGGGAUCAUGGCCCACCCAGCUCACCA